GGGGUAGAAGUCUUCGGACUUUGAGACCGGCGCACGGGUGCGUAACGCGUAUGCAAUCUACCUUGUACAGGGGAAUAGCCCAGAGAAAUUUGGAUUAAUGCCCCAUGGUAUUUUCGAAUGGCAUCAUUUGAUUAUUAAAGUUCCAACGGUACAAGAUGAGCAUGCGUCCCAUUAGCUAGUUGGUAUGGUAACGGCAUACCAAGGCUAUGAUGGGUAGGGGUCCCGAGAGGGAGAUCCCCCACACUGGUACUGAGACACGGACCAGACUCCUACGGGAGGCAGCAGUGAGGAAUAUUGGUCAAUGGGCGAGAGCCUGAACCAGCCAUGCCGCGUGCAGGAUGAAGCAUCUAUGGUGUGUAAACUGCUUUUGUACA
rnacentral:rRNA from 1 species